rnacentral:tRNA from 1 species
AGUUAAUGAACUUGAUAAAGUUUAUAUUUUGAAAAUAUAAGAUAGAGGUAUAUAAUUUUCUAUUAACUA